rnacentral:rRNA from 1 species
UGGGGAAUAUUGGACAAUGGGCGAAAGCCUGAUCCAGCCAUGCCGCGUGUGUGAAGAAGGUCUUCGGAUUGUAAAGCACUUUAAGUUGGGAGGAAGGGCAGUAAGCGAAUACCUUGCUGUUUUGACGUUACCGACAGAAUAAGCACCGGCUAACUCUGUGCCAGCAGCCGCGGUAAUACAGAGGGUGCGAGCGUUAAUCGGAUUUACUGGGCGUAAAGCGUGCGUAGGCGGCUUUUUAAGUCGGAUGUGAAAUCCCCGAGCUUAACUUGGGAAUUGCAUUCGAUACUGGGAAGCUAGAGUAUGGGAGAGGAUGGUAGAAUUCCAGGUGUAGCGGUGAAAUGCGUAGAGAUCUGGAGGAAUACCGAUGGCGAAGGCAGCCAUCUGGCCUAAUACUGACGCUGAGGUACGAAAGCAUGGGGAGCAAACAGG